rnacentral:pre_miRNA from 1 species
ACAACAUUUGGACCGUCGGUCUAUCAAGCAAUUACACUUGAUCGGUGGAAGAUCUUCCCUUCGUCGU